GACGGAGGGUGCUAGCGUUGUUCGGAAUUACUGGGCGUAAAGGGCGCGUAGGCGGUCUCGUCAGUCGGGUGUGAAAGCCCGGGGCUCAACCCCGGAACGGCACCCGAGACGGCGGGACUGGAGACCGGGAGAGGAGGGUGGAAUAGCCAGUGUAGAGGUGAAAUUCGUAGAUAUUCGCAAGAACACCAGUGGCGAAGGCGGCUCACUGGCCCGAUACUGACGCUGAGGCACGAAAGCGUGGGGAGCAAACAGG
rnacentral:rRNA from 1 species